AGUCUGUUGGAUUACUUUGUGAAAAUGUUCUUGCUAUUCAGGGUGCUUAAAAAGUUUUGGAAAUAAAUAGUGGUGAUGGUUGUACAACAUUGUGAAUAUAAUGCUACUGAAUUGUACACUUGAAAAUGCUUAAAAUGGCAGAUUCCUUGUUGUAUAUAUUUUACCACAAUAAAAUUUUUUAGAAGUUCUUAAUUAUAUUGAGGUAAAAUCUACUUUCCUGUAAUAAGUAACCAUUCCUGUUUUUCUUAAUUAUGUCUUUUAGAGUCAUUCAGAUCAAAUCUGCUCCACUUUUCACCGAGGAUAUCUUUGAUCAGAUUAAGAAUCCUACCACUCUUGACAGUGGUGCCAACAAAUCUUGCAGACUGAUGUUUGAGUUCAGCUUCUUUCCCUAGAUAUCCCAAAUGAGAAGAAGGUGAACUCAUUUGAGGGACGGGGGGCAUCAUAGCAGUAAAGAGUACAAAUGUGCAAACUUUCUUCACUAUAAGCAAAAUUUCUAAAGAUAAUUGCAGUUGAGAUCCCAGUAUGGAAAAAACUAUAUGCUCUACUUUCUUCAAGAGGUGGUGAAGACACAAUUCCUGCUUUCCAAGAGCUCAUUCUAGUAGGGACUACAGAUAUGUAAGUAAUUAACCAUUCUACAUGAGAGAAAGACUUAUAUAAAGAGGUAUGAGGAACACACAGGAAGAUGUAAAUAAUUCUACCUGAAGAGAUCACAUCUGAAUGGCUUUGAAAGUUGAAUAAAAUUUCUCCAGAUAGACAACGGACUAGUGGAGGGUAGGGCAGGAGAUUGAACAGUCCAGGCAGAGGGAAUAGCAUAUAUAAAAGCACAGCAGUAUGAAAGUACAUGUUUUAAAUGGCAAAUCUUAUGCUAUGACUUGAAUGUAUGCUACAUGGAGUGGAACUGGCAGAGAAUAACUUAGAAUGGGAGGCUGGGCCUAAGUUGUAAAGAUCCUUGAAAGCCAAGCAGAGCAAAAAGAUCAGGUAAUAUGGCGGACUGGGGCUCAGUACACUGAGUCUUUGAGCCCCUGGAUUUUAAGGAUAGUAUUUUAGGCCUUCAGAGUUCUCUAUUUAGUUGGAAUCAGAG